rnacentral:misc_RNA from 1 species
AUGCCCAGUUCUGGCAAACCGCGUUCACCCAGUACGGUGAGGAAGCUCAGCGCAUGAUGAAGCUGACUCAGGGAACGGUCGAAGAUGUGACCCGCACGGCGCGGGAACUCCGCGAUACGGUCACUCACACCGACAGGGCCGCCUGAGCCAUUGCGUCAGAUCAUUUAAAUCAGAUGUCGGCUUCGCGGUCGGGGCCGACAUAGGCGAUGCGGACCAUGUUCGUCGUGCCCGGCGUGCCGAGCGGUACGCCG